GCUCUCUUUGCAGCAUGUUUCCCCCCUCCCCUGGUCUUUCUUUCAUGUCCUGCCGAAGAUAUACUGUUUCCUGCCUGAAUGUACACGUGGAACUCUUCUCAUAGACAGUGCAGGAAGCAGAGCCCAUGAUGACAUCACCACCCCUCUGUUCCAGUGCACAUCUGGAAAUGCUCAAGUUUCAGAACGAAAAAGUGAGAACGGCAAGAACGUGAGGGAAGAGUACAAACGCGCUUGGCAUAUCUGCACCACCAGCACUGACAGUGAAAGAAGGAGGAGAUAAUAGGAAAAGAGAAAGAAAUGGAGGUGGACCGAUUCCAGGACUAAAACCAGGUCCUGGAGUGUCUCGGACUUGGUGGGUGGGAAUUUUGACAGCUGGCUGGAGGAAAUCCUGUUUCCAGUUGACAAUUUUAUUCAUUUAUUUAUUUUUUACCGCCACAGGCAUGGACAAAGACCUCCUGCACCCAUUUGGAAACCAUUAACUCAUAAGGACAUCCAGUUUAGGAAACCAGUUGUAUUUCCCCUGGUUUCAUAAACAAGUUCUUUUCAAAUUAAACUGUGAUUGAUUUUUGUCAUUUGGUACUGGUCUGUGUUUGCCUUAUUGGCGUUUUCUUCUGAAAAAAUUGUUAUCAUUAACAAAGUAUGGCAAAUUCACAUUCAGCCAAAAGUACUGCAGUACUGUUGUGACUUUGUCAUUAAACUUGUAUUAUUUUCAGUAUGGUGCAGUUAUGUGUUGUCAUGCAGAUCGAGCAACUUGUGAUGUUAAGUAUUCUAAAACUCAAGAAAAGCUAAAAGUAGGCCUAGUUAUUUUCAAAGGUGCAAAUGUAAUUUAAUUAUUUAUGCACCAGUGAAACUAACUUAUAAUAAAAACGUUAUAAAAAGAAAAAAAG
ensembl:lncRNA